rnacentral:rRNA from 1 species
AGUCAUAUGCUUGUCUCAAAGAUUAAGCCAUGCAUGUCUAAGUACAAACUAUAUUAAAGUGAAACCGCGAAAGGCUCAUUAAAUCAGUUAUGGUUCCUUAGAUCGUACCAGAAUUACUUGGAUAACUGUGGUAAUUCUAGAGCUAAUACAUGCAAACAGAGCUCUGACCGGAGACGGAAGGAGUGCUUUUAUUAGAUCAAAACCAAUCGGCGGCGGUAACGUUUCGGCGUUAUUCCGUUCGUCGCUUAAAUUAUAUGGUGAAUCUGAAUAACUUUAUGCUGAUCGCAUGGUCUUGUACCGGCGACGCAUCUUUCAAAUGUCUGCCUUAUCAACUGUCGAUGGUAGGAUCUGCGCCUACCAUGGUUGUAACGGGUAACGGGGAAUCAGGGUUCGAUUCCGGAGAGGGAGCCUGAGAAACGGCUACCACAUCCAAGGAAGGCAGCAGGCGCGCAAAUUACCCACUCCCGGCACGGGGAGGUAGUGACGAAAAAUAACGAUACGGGACUCAUCCGAGGCCCCGUAAUCGGAAUGAGUACACUUUAAAUCCUUUAACGAGGACCAAUUGGAGGGCAAGUCUGGUGCCAGCAGCCGCGGUAAUUCCAGCUCCAAUAGCGUAU